AUUGAACGCUGGCGGCAGGCCUAACACAUGCAAGUCGAGCGGAUGAAGGGAGCUUGCUCCUGGAUUCAGCGGCGGACGGGUGAGUAAUGCCUAGGAAUCUGCCUGGUAGUGGGGGAUAACGUCCGGAAACGGGCGCUAAUACCGCAUACGUCCUGAGGGAGAAAGUGGGGGAUCUUCGGACCUCACGCUAUCAGAUGAGCCUAGGUUGGAUUAGCUAGUUGGUGGGGUAAAGGCCUACCAAGGCGACGAUCCGUAACUGGUCUGAGAGGAUGAUCAGUCACACUGGAACUGAGACACGGUCCAGACUCCUACGGGAGGCAGCAGUGGGGAAUAUUGGACAAUGGGCGAAAGCCUGAUCCAGCCAUGCCGCGUGUGUGAAGAAGGUCUUCGGAUUGUAAAGCACUUUAAGUUGGGAGGAAGGGCAGUAAGUUAAUACCUUGCUGUUUUGACGUUACCAACAGAAUAAGCACCGGCCAACUUCGUG
rnacentral:rRNA from 1 species